rnacentral:snoRNA from 1 species
AGGCACUGGCUUGGAACCUCUGUGUGUCUAGCCUGUUAUCUCAGUGCCAGAACAGAUGCAGUUUGAUCAUAUCCAGGGUUGCUUGGUGCUUCCUUAGUGAUUAUUUUAGCUGCAAGCAACAUUC